ensembl:lncRNA
GAAAUGCUAAUUAUAGAUACGGAUCAUGAAUUCACAAAUUGCUGAGUAUUUUAAGCGUGGCUUCACAAAUGAGGAGAUUCUUGCGUUAUUAGCUGAAUCACAUGGCAUUACUAUCAGCCUCCGUACACUUGAAAGGAUUUUACACAACAACCGACUUUGGCGCAGAAAGAACAAAACAGAGGUGGGAGAGGUGGCAGCUUUUAUACAAGCACAAUUGGCAACCUCAGGACAGUGUCAUGGGUAUCGUUGGAUGCACCAGAAGUGUUGGAUGAAUGGCAUUGUUACUGACAGAGAAACCGUUCGUCUUCUGCUCCGUUUAUUCGAUGGAGAAGGUGUGGAUUUGAGGUCACGUAGACGACUGCGGAGGCGAGUGUAUCAUAGCAGAGGCCCCAACUAUGUGUGGCAUAUCGACGGCUACGAUAAACUGAAGCCAUUUGGGAUUGCAAUCAGUGGAUGCAUUGACGGCUUUUCAAGGAGUGUAAUAUGGCUAGACGCUUACAAGACAAAUAAUGACCCGAGAGUAAUUGCUGGCUACUUCAUGGAUGCCGUGAUUCAACAAGGUGGUUGCCCUGAUCGAGUGAGAUUAGAUCUAGGAACAGAAAACGUCCAUGUGGCUCACAUGCAACGAUUUUUGCACUUUACAGACAAUGAACCAGAAAGAGAGCACGUCAUAUUUGGAGCAAGUACAGGAAAUCAACGCAUUUAAAGAUGGUGGCUAAUCUUACGAAGCCAGUGUAUCCAGUACUGGAUUGAACUAUUUGACAAACUAAGAGAGGAUGGCCACUUCUCAGACUCUUUCUUGGACAAAUCAUUGGUCCAGUUCUGUUUUCUUCACAUUAUACAGGUGAAAUUAAAUGAAGUUGCUUUGGCCUGGAAUGACCACAGAAUGCGCCCAGUCCACAACUCCCGAAGUCCUCAUGGCCGACCAUCUUUUAUGUAUGCCCUCCCAGACAUUUAUGGCGCGAGGGACUGUCUCAAACAUGUCAAUAUGGACAAAGUUGAAGCCUGCCUUGAAGAAUGCGUGUUCAAAGACUUUCCAUGUGAAGAGGAUGUCUUUCAUCUCUGUGUAGAACUCAUGUCAGAACAUAACCUGGACUUCUCAGAUGAUGUGUUUCAUACAGUGGAUCUGUAUGUAAAGCUAAGGCAGUUGAUGCUUACUGAGUUGGAGCUUUUGCCUUAAAGGUUAGACAUCGUUAUGCAUUUUUAAUUCUGUAUUUUCAUAUUUAAAUUGUAAACUUUUAUGAGUUAUUAAUUUUUGGAUGGUUGUCGUUUUUGGGGCACACAUACAUGGGUUUUGAGGGCCUGAAAAUGUAUUUCACGAACAGGGCCAAUUGAAAAAGGCUAUAAAAAUUGUAUUUAAUUUUUGGAGGGUUGUUUUUUUUUUCUUUUUGGAUGGUUUAUUUCAAUUAACAAACCAAUUUUUUGUUUUAAAAGCCUUAUUAUUAAAACAUAUGUAAACAUAAUGUCUGUUAGACCUGCUAUUUGGAGGAUAUGCAGCGCAUGUCACCUUGGAAUUAUGAUUUCAACUUUUUGUAAAUAUGCUUUUUCAUCUUUCUUUUUAUUUGAGUAAUUAUUGAUGUUUUGAAAUAUCUGGUUAUGUAGCAGUAAAAAAAAUUUCACUGUCAUUUUUUUCCACUGCUGAGACUUUUUAUAUAUACUGACUGUUUUCCUGAUUAUGGGCAGUAUAAUUAUAUAUUUUUUAGCAUAUGGAUAACCUAACUGAGUGAGAUUUAUGGACCUUUUUUUUUUUCGGAUUGCGCCUCAGAAUAAUAAAAACCCAAAAAUUACCAAAAUUAAAGAUGUAAUUUGUCUCAUUGAACACUUUAUUAUAAAACACAGAUCUUUUGCCAUCAUCUUGUCUUAAAACAAAAUAACUGUACUGUAUUUACAGUAACACAAAAAACC